AGGUGAUUUGUAUUCACCACCAUUAAGGGCAGUGCUCACCGCUCUGUCCUGCAGGCUGGCUGCACACCACAGGGAAUUGCUCGGUGACCCCAAGCUUUCCUCUGCCCAAUUAUCCUGGUUAGCUUGCAGGCAGCCUCGGGAGCGGGGCAGGGAACAGGUCACACCGAGGGACUCGUCCUCCCGUGCCCCUGCCUGCCCUCAGGCUGGGGGCAGGGUGCUGGGCAGGGGUGGCUCCUGGAGGGUGUCAGGUCACAGCAGCCUCAAAGCCAGUUGGGAAGAGGAAAGUUCCAGUCCUGGGACACCCCUUGAGCACCUGCACUGGAGCCCAACGCCUGCAAGACCUCAAGGGCCAGAGCUGUUCCAGUGCUGUGAUUCCCAUCCAGAAGCCCCAAAAGUGGACAUGGGGGUGAAACUGGGAGACCUGAGACCCGCUGCCACCCACGAGCACGCCUAAUUCCUAUUUUCCUCCAAGCCCAUCCCGAGCAUCUCCCUGUGCUGCCAGAGCAGAGAUUUGUUCUCCAUCUGGGAAUAUUGGUGCCUUCUGGAGCAGCCCUGAACUCUCCAUUAGACCAGUUGCUUUCUGAUUCGGAGGGGAGCAAAGAGUUAAAAUUUAUUCCAUCCACCUGUAUAUUUUCCCAAGCCUUCUGAUAGCAAUCAAGAAUGCAGGAAAUGGUGUAUUUAAGGGGUGAAUUUGCCAAAACUGUGCCACAAGUCAAACUUAUAAAGCAAAGUUUAUUUGUAAAGUUACAGAAGGCUGAAGUAUCUCCUGUUGAAGGGGCAAGUGCUGGAGCUCAUCAAGGCACAGAUCAGCCCUGCUGGGUUAUAGAGGGACCUUUGACUGUUAACUGGGAUCAUUUCAGCUGGUUUGGAGCCCUGUGAGGGACCUGACAGGGCUCAGCGAUGCCCCAGCUGGGGCUCCCCAGCCCCAGGGGGCUCAGCACCACUGGAAUUGGUGUCUAUCUCUGCUGGAUGGUGGGAGGCUGUGGUGGGGUGCUGGGAUGUGCCCCCAGCCACACAAGGACCACGAGUUCUUGCCCGUGAACCCAGCCCGCCCCUGUGUGCUGCUUUCCAGGGAUCCUCAAAUCCCUAAAGGCUCCAUGAGAGUGUUUUAUAAACUCUUCCCGUGCUGAA